rnacentral:rRNA from 1 species
GUUGAACCUUUUCUUCCGGGAAAGGGGGAGUCAUCAGUGAGAUACCACUCUUGGUAAGCUAGAGCGCUCAUUUUUAACCGUUAUCCGGUAAAAAGACAGUUUCAGGCGGGCAGUUUGACUGGGGCAGUCACCUCCCAAAAGGUAAUGGAGGUGUACAAAGGUUCUCUCAGGCUGGACGGAAAUCAGCCAUAGAGUGUAAAAGCAUAAGGGAGCUUGACUGCGAGACGGACAUGUCAAGCAGAGACGAAAGUCGGUUUUAGUGAUCCGACGGUGCUGAGUGGAAAGGCCGUCGCUCAACGGAUAAAAGUUACUCUAGGGAUAACA